AGAGGGACUUUCCAGUACAAAUGAGGGACUGCAGGUUGAGUUGUCAAAAGAGGGACUGUCCCUCCGAAAAAGGGACAGUUGGGAGGUAUGCAUACAGCCAGGCAGAUAGUGGGCUGCAAACAGCUUAGCCUUCUUCAACUGUUCCCAUAUGCCCUAGGCACAGAGCAUCCAACAGCAAUACUGGUCAAUGUGCACCUCCAACCUCUGCUGCACAGAUUCGGGCCCAAAUGAUAGCACCUGAUUAGUAGGUGGGGGACAUAUUAAAAUAUUGCUAUGAGGUGUGUUCCUGUGGCCCUUGGAAUUAGGCACAUGCCAAUACCUGGGAUCUUGGUGUUUUCUGACUGAUUAACACAUAGGCCAAACAGAUAUUAUCCAAUUGGACAAGUCUGGACUGAGUUUUAAAAUAGGUUCUGGCAUUUCAAGCCACAGAGACCCAAACUGCCAGUGGAAUGGUAUUUACAGUCCAAACUCACUGCACGGUUUGGUGACCAGGGCCACACAAUGGCUCCCCAGUAGGCCCAAACGCAUGACUGUGAGUUUGUGAUCCUGCCUUAGACUGUAGAACAAGAGAGAAAUACAGGCACUUCUGGGAUAUAAAUUGAAUAAAGUACCCCCUGUUGUAAAAUAUAAGGAUAUUCUAAGUUACUGAGGAGUUCCAUGACCAUAUAAAUACAAGGAUUGAAGUGACACUUAGUUUUUUUUGGCAGGGGUGUUCCAAUUGCAGUGUGAUACCCCAGGGCCCCAUGAUUCCAAUCCAUGCAGAGAGGCCCCCCAAUACUGGGACACCAUGGGCCUCUCAGAUAACUUCAUUAGAGAGCAGAUAAUAGACUAUUCAGCUCUCAGGGUGUAAAUACCCCCCAUAGUUUGAAGGAGGCUCUUUUGAAUGCAAGUUUCCCCAUGAAUAGAUUGAAAUCUCCAUUUUAAUUGAACAUUUGGUUUCAAGGGGGUCUCUUUAAUCAGCCCCUCUCCCCCAUCCACAGUGAAACAAUAGGCUUGACACUGAUUUGCUAAAUAUUCAACCUUUGGCCCAUGACCUUGAUUGGUUGUGCAUUUUCUAAGGUGGGGUUUGAGGAUUAUAAGAGUCUGGAGGCCAAAUACAGUUGUACACAGAUAAAGUCAGGGUUUCUCUAUGUUUAUCCACUGGAAGCAUUUUGGGAGGUUCCCCUCUACUGUAAGCAAUGCAGUUGGUAUUGUGCUGUACAUAAUAGAGAUUUCUCUUGUGUUCCACUGUUCUGGGCAUUGUACACAUCUGUCUGUCUAUAUCUAUAGUUGAUCCCAAUGUUAUUAAUAGGGAAAAAUGAUAAAUAUAUAGGAAGGUAAUUUUCUUCCAGAAAAGGUGGCAACCGUAUUUGCUUACAAGGGGCGCUGUUGUAUUGCCACACUGGUAGGUACAUUACCCUAAACAGGGCACUUUCUCUGUGCGUUAUAAUUGGGAAAAGUGCUUUCUUGUUUGGGCCACUGUGCCGGCCAAUGUUUGUGUGGUGGGGGCAGCACAUGGGGACACUGGGUUGUACUGGGAAUUAUCUCUAUCAUUUAUAAGUCACCGACCCCCACCCCUCCCCGGGUAACUAUGUUCUAUUUCUUUAGCUAUUUUUUCCAUUCUAUUCCUAUUACCCUGUGCACCUCCAGCUUCCCUUUCUAGAUGCCCUUUAUCCUGAGCUUCUUGCCCCUGUCACUGGCUUUUCCUGUCUCUUGCCCCCAGCUAACCAAAUCCUCUCCUCUGUCCUCUCUCUAUACAGGAACAUGUGUUGCUAUGGUCCCCCCUAUAGGGAUGCUAUGCAUAGAGGCAGCUUUGGGAUGCAUAUGCAACUGGGGGGACACAGGAUUGGUGAAAUAAUUUGGGGUGGCAGGCUUGGGAGCUUUAUUUAACUGGGGGGAGUUCAGCUUGGGAGGGUGCAUUUCACUGGGGAUCAGGCAUAGCGGAAUACCUUGGGGUGACAGGAUUAGGGGGUGUAUUUUAGUGGGAGAGGAAGACUUGGGGUACAUUUAACUGGGGAUACUGAGGCUUUGUGGAAUAACUGGAGGGACACAGGCUUGGACUGAGUUGUGUAGAUAAAUGUUCUGCUCAGUCUGGUCUCAAUGUGCCGUAUAUGGAUUUCUCCUAAUGUUAAACCAGAUUAUUUUCCAUUACCUGAGUUUUUCAGCUCUUAGACUGGCUCAUUCUUCCCAAGGGCCCCUCUUACGGUACCCAUCCCCCCAGUCUCUCCCAUUCCCCCUCAUUCUCUCCCAUUCCUCCCAUUCUCUCCCAUUUCCCCUCAUUCUCUCCCAUUCCUCCCAUUCCCCCUCAUUCUCUCCCAUUCCCCCCCCAUUCUCUCCCAUUGCCCCUCAUUCUCUCCCAUUUCUCCCAUUCCCCCUAAUUCUCUCCCAUUCCCCCCCAUUCUCUCCCAUUCCCCCCCAUUCUCUCCCAUUUUCUCGUUCCAAUUGGCUCCUUCACCACCCUCCUCAGUUUCAGCCUUGGGUGUUGUUCCAUUACAGUGUGAGUAGAGGGAGAUGGGUGAGUGUUACUGGGUGCCUAAUCAUUGUCAGCACAGUAGCCAGACUGGGGCCCUCUCUUGUUAUCAGUGGGAGUAAGUGCUUUCUAGUUUGGUUAUUGUGCCAACAAACAAUCCGACGGCUGGAGAGCUGGGGUGAGGGGCAAAUAAAAAUGUCUCACAACUGCCUCAGUGUCUGCACCAUGUCUGUGCCUUUGUGCAUUUCUCUUUAUACUUGUAUCUCUAUGUGCUACAUACAGUAAUAAGCUGCUGGAUGCCCUGUACAAGUGCCCAUAUGAUGCCCGAGUGCCCUGCUCUGUGUUCACACAUUGGCCAAACUGGGGCGCUGUCUCCUUGUAUCAGUGAGUAAGUGCUCUCUAGUUCGGUUGCUGUGUGCGCAGGAAUAGCACAUGGGGACAUUAGGGCAUGGGAAGGAGGGUGGUACAGGGGUGGGUAAGUUGUUGGCACCAUGGGCAUGUCAGUUCUGCUGGAAACGUCUGUAGACCUCCCUCUGAUCGGCCAAACUGGGGCACUGCCUUAUUUCAUGCCAAGAAAGUGCUUCUUGUUCGGCUGAUUGGGGCGCCAGGCUCUCUGCAUCAGUCUCACCCCGGGGACUUUAGCUGCCAGUCUGUGGGUGCGGUACCCUAAACCAAGCACAUUCCUGGGAGACAAAUAUGGGGAAAGUGCUUUCAUGUUUGAGGCAUCGUGCGAGCACAAAGAACACUGACUGCUGGUUGUCGUUGUCCCACCAGCACCUCUCCGGGCUCACAGCAGCCAAACAGAAGCUCAUUCUUGUUGUCUCUAUGAGAAAGUGCUUCUCGUUCGGCUGAUUUGGCCACCGGGAUAUCAUCAGAACUCCUAAAAACUGGUAAAUACUGUAAGUUUAAUGCAGAGACUAAUAUUCUGAGGCAAUUUGUAAUCGGUUUUCAUUUUUUAUUAUUUGUGGUUUAUGACUUAUUUAGCUUUUUAUUCAGCAGCUCUCCAGUUUGCAAUUUCAGCUGUCUGGUUGCUAUGGUCCAAAUACUCCAGCAACCAUACAUUGAUUUGAAUAAUAGACUGGAAUAUGAAUAGGAGAGGCCUGAAUAGAAAGACGAGGAAUAAAAAGUAAACAAUAACAAUACAUUUGUAGCCUUACAGAGCAUUUGUUUUUAGAUGGGGACGUUUUAGAACUUCAAAGAUGGAAAGUGCCAGAAGAAGGCAAAUAAUUAAAAAGUAAUAAAAAAGAAAAAAUGAGGACCAACUGAAAAGUUGCUCAGAAUUAGCCAUUGUAUAACAUACUAAAAGUUAAAGUAAAGCUGAAGGGGACAAUGCCCUGACUUUACUUGUCCUUUAUGUCUCAGGCCUUGGGGAAAGUUUCUCUUUUUCUUUCUUUUCAGAUUAUUCUAAGGCUCUGACACAUGGAGGAAUCCAACCUUUUAUACUCAUGUACCCAGAAUAUUCUCACCCAAUAAUAAAGAAUGGACUAAAUAUCA